GAGAGAGGCCAAUCUGUGGCCUCUAUGAGGUAGUCCAAUCUGUGGCCAUAAACACCAGAGUGGACAUGCUUUCUGAAAAGCUUGACCGCUUAUUGCCCACGAGACAGAACUUUAGGCAAUCUACCCUAACUCCCACUUAUUAGGAUGUGUACGCUCUAGGUGCCUGUCCUGCACAUUAUGUGGGUGAUUGCCCUUAAGCGGUGUAAUUCCCUGAAUAUGUUCAAGAACAUGCAUAGGCUGCCCAGAGUUUCUCCAAAUCGGGUAAUGACCCAUACUCCCAGACCUAUAAUCCUGGUUGGAGGAACCACCCCAAUUUUGGAUGGAAACAACCCAAUAGUUUCCAAAAUCUGGCAUA